rnacentral:rRNA from 1 species
UGAGGAAUAUUGGUCAAUGGCCGAGAGGCUGAACCAGCCAAGUCGCGUGAGGGAUGACGGCCCUAUGGGUUGUAAACCUCUUUUGUCAGGGAGCAAAGAGCGCUACGUGUAGCGCCUCGAGAGUACCUGAAGAAAAAGCAUCGGCUAACUCCGUGCCAGCAGCCGCGGUAAUACGGAGGAUGCGAGCGUUAUCCGGAUUUAUUGGGUUUAAAGGGUGCGCAGGCGGACUGUCAAGUCAGCGGUAAAAUUGCGGGGCUCAACCCCGUCGAGCCGUUGAAACUGGCGGUCUUGAGUGAGCGAGAAGUAUGCGGAAUGCGUGGUGUAGCGGUGAAAUGCAUAGAUAUCACGCAGAACUCCGAUUGCGAAGGCAGCAUACCGGCGCUCAACUGACGCUCAUGCACGAAAGCGUGGGUAUCGAACA